UACAGAGGUCUCAAGCGUUGUUCGGAUUCAUUGGGCGUAAAGGGUGCGUAGGUGGCGCGCUAAGUCAGGUGUGAAAUCUCGGAGCUUAACUCCGAAACUGCAUUUGAUACUGGCGUGCUUGAGGACUGGAGAGGAGACUGGAAUUCACGGUGUAGCAGUGAAAUGCGUAGAUAUCGUGAGGAAGACCAGUGGCGAAGGCGGGUCUCUGGACAGUUCCUGACACUGAGGCACGAAGGCCAGGGGAGGACAAACCGGGG
rnacentral:rRNA from 1 species